rnacentral:snoRNA from 1 species
UGUCCCAGCCCUGAGUAGAGUGGCAUCUGGUUGGUGGUGCCCAUCUCAUAUCAGCCAGGGACAAAGCAACCCCUUGUUUAUCCUAGCUUGGCUUUUGGUCUCUGCCUAUGCCUGGUUCACGCCUUGGUCACAUGA